GUUUCCUUGCGCGGUUCCCUGCUGGGCGAGUGACUCAGGCAGGAAACUCCAAGCCCAGCGCGGCCCAGGGGGAGAAGGCGGCCCGGCAACAAUAACCCGCGGAGCCGAGCCCCGGAGGGCGCCGAGCCCCCGGCAACAUCCCGCCCGAGCAGCUGGGGAGGGAGAGAAGCGGCGACCCCGAGAGUCUCCUGCUGCAAGUGGAGACAAAAUGACCGCUCAGGUUACUUUAGAGGAUGCCUUGUCCAAUGUGGAUCUCUUGGAAGAAUUACCAUUGCCGGAUCAACAACCAUGUAUUGAACCCCCUCCGUCAUCUCUACUUUACCAGCCAAACUUCAACACUAAUUUUGAAGACAGGAAUGCAUUUGUCACAGGCAUUGCAAGAUACAUUGAGCAAGCUACUGUUCAUUCGAAUAUGAAUGAAAUGUUGGAAGACGGUCAAGAGUAUGCUGUCAUGCUGUAUACAUGGAGGAGCUGCUCAAGAGCCAUUCCUCAGGUUAAAUGUAAUGAACAGCCUAACCGAGUAGAAAUUUAUGAAAAAACUGUCGAAGUUCUGGAGCCUGAGGUUACAAAACUGAUGAAUUUUAUGUACUUUCAGAGAAAUGCAAUUGAACGAUUCUGUGGGGAGGUGAAGCGCUUAUGCCAUGCAGAGAGGAGGAAGGAUUUUGUAUCUGAAGCAUAUCUGAUCACUUUGGGCAAGUUCAUCAACAUGUUUGCAGUAUUAGAUGAGCUGAAAAAUAUGAAGUGCAGUGUGAAGAAUGACCACUCUGCCUACAAGCGAGCUGCUCAGUUUCUGCGUAAAAUGGCUGAUCCUCAGUCCAUCCAGGAAUCCCAGAACCUCUCCAUGUUCCUUGCUAAUCAUAACAAGAUUACACAAUCUUUACAGCAACAGCUUGAGGUGAUUUCUGGCUAUGAAGAACUGCUGGCUGAUAUUGUGAAUUUGUGCGUGGACUACUAUGAAAAUAAAAUGUAUCUAACACCCAGUGAGAAACACAUGCUCUUAAAAGUAAUGGGCUUUGGAUUGUACCUGAUGGAUGGAAGUGUCAGUAAUAUCUAUAAACUGGAUGCAAAGAAAAGAAUAAACUUGACCAAGAUAGACAAGUUCUUUAAGCAGCUGCAAGUGGUCCCGCUGUUUGGCGAUAUGCAGAUUGAACUGGCAAGAUACAUUAAAACUAGCGCCCACUACGAGGAAAACAAAUCCAGAUGGACGUGCACCUCUUCCAGCAGCAGUCCCCAGUACAACAUCUGUGAGCAAAUGAUCCAGAUCAGAGAAGAUCAUAUGCGCUUCAUUUCAGAACUGGCUCGUUACAGCAACAGUGAGGUAGUGACUGGGUCUGGCCGUCAAGAAGCUCAGAAAACAGACGCAGAGUAUCGAAAACUCUUUGAUCUCUCUCUCCAGGGACUACAGCUCCUAUCUCAGUGGAGUGCACAUGUUAUGGAAGUGUAUUCAUGGAAACUGGUACAUCCAACUGACAAAUACUCCAAUAAAGAUUGCCCUGACAAUGCAGAAGAGUAUGAAAGAGCAACACGAUACAAUUAUACUAGUGAAGAGAAGUUUGCCUUGGUUGAGGUUAUUGCCAUGAUCAAAGGUCUUCAGGUGCUGAUGGGGAGAAUGGAAAGUGUCUUUAACCAUGCCAUACGUCAUACCAUUUAUGCUGCUCUUCAGGACUUCUCCCAGGUUACACUGAGAGAACCAUUAAGACAGGCCAUAAAAAAGAAGAAAAACGUAAUUCAGAGUGUUCUUCAGGCCAUCAGAAAGACAGUUUGUGACUGGGAAGCAGGACAUGAACCAUUUAAUGACCCGGCACUAAGAGGAGAGAAAGACCCCAAAAGUGGUUUUGACAUCAAAGUUCCAAGGCGAGCAGUGGGACCCUCCAGUACCCAGCUUUACAUGGUGAGAACUAUGUUAGAGUCUCUCAUUGCUGACAAAAGUGGUUCCAAGAAAACCUUGAGAAGUAGCCUUGAGGGGCCCACCAUAUUGGACAUAGAAAAAUUUCAUCGCGAGUCUUUCUUCUACACUCAUUUGAUAAAUUUCAGUGAAACCUUGCAGCAAUGCUGUGACCUGUCCCAGUUGUGGUUCAGAGAAUUCUUCUUAGAACUCACGAUGGGAAGAAGAAUCCAGUUCCCCAUUGAGAUGUCUAUGCCUUGGAUUUUGACCGACCACAUUCUGGAGACAAAAGAGGCAUCAAUGAUGGAGUAUGUUCUCUAUUCUUUGGAUCUUUACAAUGAUAGCGCUCAUUAUGCGCUUACUAAAUUUAAGAAGCAGUUCCUCUACGAUGAAAUUGAGGCAGAGGUAAACUUGUGUUUUGACCAAUUCGUCUACAAGUUGGCAGACCAGAUAUUUGCAUACUACAAGAUUAUGGCGGGAAGUCUGCUUCUGGAUAAACGGUUGCGCUCCGAAUGCAAGAAUCAGGGGGCAACAAUUCACUUACCACCAUCCAACCGGUAUGAGACCCUGCUUAAACAGAGACAUGUACAACUUCUUGGUAGGUCAAUAGACCUGAACCGCCUAAUCACUCAGCGGAUUUCAGCAGCCAUGUAUAAGUCAAUGGAACUGGCAAUUGGUCGAUUUGAAAGUGAAGACUUGACCUCCAUUGUUGAGCUAGAUGGCUUGGUAGAGAUAAAUAAAAUGACACACAAGCUACUGAGCAGAUACAUGACCUUAGACAGCUUUGAUGCCAUGUUCAGAGAAGCCAAUCACAACGUGUCGGCUCCCUAUGGAAGAAUCACUCUUCAUGUCUUCUGGGAGCUCAACUAUGAUUUCCUUCCAAACUAUUGCUACAAUGGGUCCACUAACAGAUUUGUUCGUACUGUGUUACCCUUUUCUCAGGAGUUUCAAAGAGAUAAGCAACCUAAUGCACAGCCGCAAUAUCUCCAUGGAUCAAAGGCUUUGAAUUUGACAUAUUCCAGCAUUUAUAGCAACUACAGGAACUUUGUUGGUCCCCCUCACUUUAAAGUCAUUUGCAGGCUCCUUGGGUACCAGGGCAUUGCUGUAGUAAUGGAGGAAUUACUGAAGGUGGUCAAAAGCCUGUUGCAGGGCACGAUUCUUCAGUAUGUGAAGACCUUGAUGGAAGUGAUGCCUAAAAUCUGUAGGUUACCUAGACACGAAUAUGGCUCUCCAGUGUUUGAAUAUGACUACAGUUGUUUUUGAUCAUCUAGCCAUACUAAAAUGUCCUUGGGAAUCAGAAAAAACGUGCUUAUGUCAGCGCUGCUGCAGUGAUAAGGUCCUGAUCAUUCAAAAACAAAUGCAUGUGCGCAGAGCAGAAUCCAACUGAAGUCAGUGAGUCACAAAGCACAUAAAGUUAAGUGUGUGUGUAUUUCCGUGCAUGGUCAGGGCCAGAGUUUGUAUUAAAAGUUCUAUGAGAGAAUGUAAAAUUAAAGGUUAUGCCAUAGUACACUGCUUGUUAGGAGGCAUUUUAUAAUGAACAGUAGCAGAGGUUUCAUUUAAUAAUAAUAAACCCAACAGUCACUGUGCAGAAAAUUAUAGAGCCCAGCUCAGUUCUUUGAAAGAACAAAUGUCAUUAGUCCAUACUUUACACAUACUAUAGGUAGCAAAUUUUGUGUUUUUAGACCUUUGGGACAUGGUUAAUCAGAGUUUUUAGCUAUAGUUUUAUAGAAAAGGUAACCUUAAAUGGAGAAACCCAACCCAUUUUAAAUUGCCUAUGUCGACUUAAUCUGUGUGCUAAUUAAUUUAGAAAGCCAGACCACAUCACUGAAAUGUGACAUCUGCCAUGUGGGCUCUUUUGAGGUAGGAUUUAGGAAGCAGAGAUGGGGCCUAAUCCUUUGUUAAUCCUCUGCAUUUACGAAAUACAUUUUAUAACAAACAACCUUUGUUUCUGAUGAGAGUGAUGUAAGAGAGCUGCAGAUGUUAUAUGUAUGAAUAACAUUAAAUACUUCCUAGUUAUACCUACCCUCCCCAGCCUUGUACAAAUGAAGGGCUUUAAUUAAAAUUACUGUUUAGCCUGGAAAAAAACCUAAAUGUAUUUAUCUUGGGGAUAUUGUGUAUAUUCAGAUGAUUCAAUAACUUACAAAUUUGCCUAUUGCAUUUAUGUUCACAACUUAGUGGGGAGAAGGAAUGCUGCAGACAAAGAAAUAAGACUGUCGUUGCCAGGACUCUUUGGUGAUUUGAGUUUUUUUAAAGGCUCCUAGAAAGGUUUCCUCCUUUUUUGUUGUAUAUUAAUUGCUUAAUCUUUUCCAAAAGUGACAUAUGUAUUUCUUAUGAUGUGGUCAGAUAUAGAUAAAGGUUGGUGUCACUGAAGCAGCAGCCAAAGCACUGGCCAAAACUUGAAGAUAUUUUCUGCUCUGAUCUCAAGUGGAUACUGCUGUUUGUACAACUGUUGUUUAGGGUUCCAUAGCAUCUGACUUGUAUAGUUAGACCUGUAGGGGGAAUUUGUUCACCUUCUGGGUAAGGUGGUGAUUGCAUGUGGGGAAUACCAGUAGUGUCAUCCCAUGCUCAUUCUGGCAUUUAUAACUUAUUUCAUAAAGAACUCUAAUUUAAAAUUGCCUCAACCUAAUUUGAAUCAAUCAAGGACUUGAAUUUCUCCACCUCACGAGGCAGGGUGAGUCUGACUCAGGGCUGGGGAGGGCUGCCUCAGAUAUGUGUGUGGUACUUCUCUGAGAAGUCCUAUGGCAGGGACUGUGAUGAGAGAGCAGAGUGGAAGUGUGUGACAGGAGAGUUGGAGGUAGUCCUUGCCCUCAGCCAUCCUGCUGACAGUUUGACUGUCUCAGGUUGCAGGAAUUUAUAAAAAGAAAAAUCUGGGGCAAAACCUUUUUUGUAACACCAGCUGGGCCAGACCCUGAAAAGCAGGACAUUCCUGAUGGUUGGAGACAUGUUGUCACUCUAAAUUGUAGAUUCAGAGCAUGGAUUAAAACAAGCUCACUGUUUGGCAAAACAUCAUCAUAAGCUUUCAGGGAUUUCAUAGAAUACUAGGGUUGGAAGGGACCUCAGGAGAUCAUCUAGUCCAAUCUGCUGUUCAAGGCAGGACCAGUCCCCAGACAGAUUUUUGCCCCAGAUCCCUAACCCCCUCAAGGAUUGAGCUCACAACCCUGGGUUUAGCAGACCAAUGCUCAAACCACUGAGCUAUCCCUCCCUCUGAUUUAUUAUUAGUUAGCAUGUAAAACUGAACACUAGGAAUAUUUUCAGCAAAACCUUUUUAGUGUCUUGUAGGUUGUUUAUUGGAAUAAACCAAAAUAGGUAAUAUGCAGCUCUUAAGCCAUAAUUUCAAGUGCAGGUGAAAGAUAGCAGUAUGUGAAAUGGGACCCAGCUAAAUGUUUGUUUAUAAAGGAAGGCCUUGUUAUAACACAUACUCCUUUAACAGCUUAUCCUUUAUGGAGACUGGGGCUAUGCAAAGGAAGCAAAUUUUUUUUUUUCAGGGUGGCUGCAAGGAGCUCUAUUACUUGGUGUAGAAAUAUAAUACCUAGUAUUUUAUUUUAUUUUAUUUUGUUAUACAAAAUAUAAACCUUAUCAAAAGAAGAUCAAAGUAACUUGAUAAUAGUGUGUAAGUACCUUGGUGAGGAGAAAAUACCAAGUACUAAAGGGCUCUUUAACCUAGCGGAAAAAGGCAUAACAAGAACCAAUAGCUGGAAGUUAAAGUCAGAUAAAUUCAAAUUAGAUAUAAGGUGCAUUGCACUGGGAGCUUAUCUUCAGUUGUUUGACCACUGUGAUCCCUAAUCCUUUUCAGGGUCUCUGCCUUCCCGGAUACAGUUCCAUGUGUUGUCCGACCCCCACGCCCCUGCCUUCUGUAGACAUAGCUUGCAUGAAAGAUGCUACUAGAAAAAAACUUGUACAAAGCUCUACAAUUAUAUUCAUCCUCAGUGAGCCAGUGAGGGACUUGAUAUUUUCAUCAACUUUUCCCUCUUGUUCCACUCCCCAUCUCACCCCACUAUCUGCUGUUUUGGUAAAGGGGAAACUAUUUCUGGUCUGUAUGAUUUUAUCCACUUAACUAGAUUUUUUUAUCAGCCGAUUUCAGUAAGCUAAUAGAUGUGUAUGUGAUAACUAUUGAAAUAAUUAGCCUUGACUCCUCAAAGGUUUUCACCUUUUUUUCUUUUUUUU